rnacentral:rRNA from 1 species
UACGUAGGCAGCGAGCGUUGUUCGGAGUUACUGGGCGUAAAGGGUGUGUAGGCGGUUGUUUAAGUUUGGUGUGAAAUCUCCCGGCUCAACUGGGAGGGUGCGCCGAAUACUGAAUGACUAGAGUGCGGGAGAGGUGAGUGGAAUUCCUGGUGUAGCGGUGAAAUGCGUAGAUAUCAGGAGGAACACCGGUGGUGUAGACGGCUCACUGGACCGUAACUGACGCUGAGACACGAAAGCGUGGAUAGCAAACAGG